CCGGAAGAGGCGGAGCCUACAUGAGCACCUUAGGCUUGCACACGCUGGGCCACUUCCUUUCCGGGCAGCGCGGUGGAGCGUAAGCAUGUUGAGCUACGUGGCGGGGAGCGGAGGCCGUGGGCUGCGGAACCCGGCGUGUCCUCCGGCUCUUCCAGGUGCAACAAAACCUGUCUCUUUUGAGGGUGCUUGAGCAAAUGUUUUUGAAACUUGUCCUGUCCUGGAAAGUGAUUGGAACAAGCUGCCAGAACUACGGUUACCAAUAACAAGCAUGUAGGUAGCUGCAGUGAACGUCCAACUUCGGGAGCUGUGAUGUUUAAUCCUCGUUGUUUUGGGUCCAGCACACAGUUUGGAAUGUAAAAUGAAGACUUGGUCAAGAAACCAUGAAGGGGGGGGCCUGGAGAGAUGGCUCAGUGGUUGAGCAUCGACUGCUCUUCCUGAGUUCAAAUCCCAGCAACCACAUGGUGGCUCAACAACCAUCUGUAAUGAGAUCUGAUGCCUUCUGGUGUGUCUGAAGACAGCUACAGUGUACUCAUAUAUAAUAAGUAAAAUAUUAAAAAAAACCAUGAACGGAAGCAAAUGGUGAAAAUUAGUAUUUAAUUUGGUAUCAAUAUGUUAUGUAGAAAUAAACGAUUUUAAUUGCUAUGAGCAUUAGUUUCUUUAAAAUGCGUGUCUUUAAAACACCAUUCUCAUAGUAAAAUAAACCUCAUCCUUCAUGAGCUGCAGACUUCAUUUACUUUUUGUCAACACAAGCAAUCCUGAUGGCCAGUACACCAAUACACCGUGGGGAAGAAAGUGACUAGACCACUUGAGAACUCUUAAGACUGGUUUUCCUCUGGUGAAGACUUGGCAAAGUCUUUAACCACUAGAAUCCCUAAGUUUAGUAAAUAGCUUAAAAAUUGAGCAACAUGGUAAUGACUUGGGGCUUGCAAGGGGUGGGGAAGUGGUUUCUUAGCUGGCACAGAACUCUGGAUUUGAUUCCCUGAUAGGAAUUCCUAAUGUUAGACUUGCCAGUUGUGGCUGUUUUUGCUCUUUAAGAAUUGUUUUGUUCUUCAUAGAGACCUAGAUUUAGCCACAUCACGAAAAAGGACAAAACAGGUCUUAAUUUGUAUGUACUAUAUCAUUAACUUGCUGUUGAGAGCAGGUACCUAAAAGUACCAAGUGCUGUGUGACCCUGGAGUAGUAGCACCUCCUGACAAAAAGACGACAUGCCCCCGUCACUUUCAUUAUAUGUAGCAGGAGGAUAUAGAGGAUUCCCACAUCUGGCCUUAUAAAGUAACACCCAUAAUGCACGUGUCAAAGGCCUCACAGAUAUUUGGGUCAUUAAGUUGCAGUGAUAUGAACUCAUCACUGGUAAAUUUUAACAAGCGUAAUCUGGUUAUGUAUGUAAAGCAUUGCUACCUGAUGGGUGGGAUGGACAGAACCUUUUUCAUACUGUACUGUAUGUAUAUAUAUAUGGGUGACCAGGAAGUUUCUGGUGUGAAGCUCCUUGGUAACAUUGGUUUUGGAUGUUGGGUUAUUUGCAUAUUUGUAAUAAUGAAGGGGGCCACAUUUCAUACCCUCAGUGGCAUUCUAUCCAAUAACUGAGAUGAUACAUCUGGACCCUUACGCCAAAACCACUCCCAUUUACAAAGGUUUGUGGAGGCCUGGGAAGUAACUCUAACUUGCUUAUUCGUCACUAGAAAGGACAGCUGUCCCGGGUCCACAUGUGGCAAUGAAGUGUUGGAGCUGCUGUUGGCACUGAGUCAGGUAGAGAUCUCUCUGCUCUAAGUAGUCCUCAUCAUACAGCUCAAAUGGAAAUAGUGCGUUGGGAGCAACACAAAACGCGGUGGCCCCUAAACGAACAAAAUACAGUGUGAACAACAUUAAAAAUGGAGUACAUUUCAACAAAAUAAGGUAAAAGUAACUCCUAGAUACUGGGUUUCAUCAUUUAAGUUUUAUUUUGGUAGCCCUUCAUUUGGAGUCGUCUUGGCUGGCUUGCCUCUGCCUCAGUGCUGUGGCUAAAGGUGGGAAUUAUCACAUGUAGCUGAUUUAAGUAUAUUUUAAAUAUAAGAUUAUCUUUGUCACCCAACCAGGUUCUAGGUCCCUCUCAGGCCCAUCCCUUAUGCGCUCUGUAUUAUGGGAUCCUCACCUCUGACCACCCUCCCACACUCAGGACCAGGCUGCUCUCCACUACAAACCUGUGCCACAUAAGUGUUGAUGACUUUGUCUAUCAUGAGUGCUUUAGUAUUACAUUUGAGGAAAGCCGUCCUCAACACUCAGUUGUCUAUGGGCUGUUUCCAUAAGCACACUUGUCCAAUCCUCAUUUCUACUCUAGCUCCAAGCAGCACUACAGACCUCUGGCUUAGAUGCAAGUGUGUCUCCAUAGCCUGUGUCCUGUGUCCACUCACUUUGGAAACCCUUUCUUGGCUUCUGGAACACCCUACCUUUCUUCCUAUAUCCUAGUUUUGAAAUUUCAUAAUUUUUUUCCGACCUAUUUCUAAACACUGGAAUUCUUCAAAGACAGUUAUGUAAUUAUAUUUUAGGUAGUUUCAUCCACUUGACUUAAAAUGCCAUCUCUGUUCUAAUUUUUAUAUUUCCAGUUUAAAACUCUGUAAGAUUCAGAUUAUUCUGUGUGUGUUUAUAGCUUGAUCAGCAAUGAUUCAUUCACCCUGGAUAAAGCACCUAAUGCUCACCACAGUGCCCAGUGUAUGUGCUCUCACCCUUCAGGGUGAACAACCCUACAGGACUCCCUUUACUCCUAGUUUGUAAAUCUUACUGUAAUUCUUCAGAGCACUUUCUGUUGUUCAGCUGACCCACAUACUGUGUUUUGUCCUUUGUUUCUCCCUUUCUGCGUACACUUUGAGCAAUAUCUUAUGAGGUUUUUGUUUCUCUAUCUAAUAUUGUAUGGACUUUUCCAUUAUUAGCAAUUUAUGAUAUGUAUAUGUAUAUAUAUACACAAACUUUUAUAUAAAUAUAUACAUAUAAAACUUGUUUCCCUUUCUACCAUAUUUUUACUUUAUCUGCUCUUAAAAAUAAGAUUCAAUAUUUUUAGCCUUUUUUUUUAAAUCUGACUUUUUAAAGUUUGCUUUGACUUGAUUCACAAAUGGGAAAUCUUUCCCUUUUUAAGGAAACCCUUGAUUUGAUGUUUUAACUCCUCUCCAUUCUUUGUUCUUUUCCCUUACAUUUAUUUGCGCUUGCUUGUUUUCUGUUGUUUUUCUUUGCUUGCCUUCUAUUUUAUCUCACUCUGCUCUUCACAAUUAUGGGGGAAGCAGUGUGAGGACACGGGUGUGGGGCAAGCAAUAUAUGUUAUAUAAAAUAAUGGGACAAAUAAUGGGACAAAUAACAUACUGUUUAGUAUUUGUUGGAACCAGUUUUUAAACCGGUUCAGGAUGACAAUCAUUUAUCUCUACAAUCUAUUUCGUAAAAUUUACAGUCUUGUCUCCUUUAGAAAGGACACCCACAAAUCUGUAUAUGAUAAUUUACAAUCCUGAAUCCUUGGCUUGGAGUUGAACGAACAGCUCAGUGUCAAGAACCCUUGCUGCUUUUCCAAAGAAUAGGUACUUGGGAGGUUAAGGCUUGACAGCAAGUCAAGGGUGAGCCUGGGCCCUGUGCUGAGGCUGUUUCACAAAUGCUCCAAAUAGAAAUCUGCAUAAGAAGGUGUUCAUUAACAGAUGACACUGCCACCAGCACAGUCGCAUAUCCCUGAGAUCCCAGCGCUUAGAGACUUCACAACCAGCCUGGGCUACAUGGCCUUGAACAAACAGUAAAUGUUCAAAUUCAAAUAAGACAUAUCCAAUAACAAUAAAGAUUAAUUAUUUUGAAGUAUUUAAAAGGUAAUAAUUUAAUAAGCUAAGAGAUUCAGGAGCAUUACUAAUUUAGUGCAUUACCAUAUUUCAAUGUGAGGGAUAUUUCGAACAAUAAGGCUGCAAUUAGUACAUCUUCUCUGAGCACUUUAUUCCUUAAGUUCAGUCGAGCGUGAGCUUCAGAUAAAGAAACUCUUAAAGAAAAACAGGGUAGUAAAAAUGUUAUACAUAUUUAAACAAGACAAACCAAGAUAUGACAUGAGCUACGUGUUAAAAGAUCUCAUGCUAUUUUUUUUCUUUUAAGCUAUUUCUUUCCCACAAUCUUAAAUAAAUUGUCAGAAGAAGCAGAUACCCUGACUUACAAAAAGGGGAGGGGCUAAUACUUAGCACUCCACGUCCCCUGCUCCAAGUUCUGCUCCAGUAAAUACACAGACGGGGGAAACAAGCCUGACUGAACAUCUCUUACAAACAUAUAAGAUACAUAGAGAUAGAUCCUUGGCUCCUCUGUCAACUCAUUUGUCUAAAGUCCUCAUGGGACCUUGCAAUUCAAAUUUCUUGAUACAUAAGGGAAUUCUGUCCACAGCAUCCUGAACUCAUUACCUCAUCCCCUUUGAACAUACGCUACUACUCACUACUCAUCUCUUUAAACAUGGAAACUUUUUUACCUGAGGUAGCUUUCAGCUUUCAUAGGCAGGUGUGAGGUUCUUAAGUGACUGUUGGACACUUGACAUUCAGGGAACUGAAACUGAGUCUGUAGACUUGACUGACUGACUGACUUUGGCAAUAAUUUGUGUGUGUGUAUAUAUGUAUGUAUAAAGGGAGGAUAGGAUACUGAGUGAGAUAAACUUUACCUACAAAGUUUAAAAUCUGGGCUGAAAUUACUGUCCCUGAAAUUACUUCCACCCACUGGUCUUGUUCUAUCUGCGGGGACUGAGGUCAAAAUGUGACACCUCUUCAAAUGUUAUUUUCACAGUUGGCUCAAGGCUUAUUUUUUCCAACGUAAAUAUUCCUUGUAUCUGUAAUGGCAGGAGGACUAGUGGUGCGGCUCAAAGAUUUAAGGCCCUGGGUUCCAGCCUAAGCUACACACACAUGCACAUACACAGUGUCAUGAAACAUAAAUUUGCUACCAGGUUGGCAGUGAACUCACAGACAUCCACCUACCUCUGCCUUCUGAAUGCUGGGAUUUAAAGUGUGUGCCACCAUAUAUGGUGAAACAUAACUUUCCUUUCCUUAAUAGUCUAGCUCUUUUCCUUAUGACCUGAUUUGGUCAACCUUUAGAAUACAGUGCUGGGUGUUUCAUUUCACUGUCAGAGUGGAGACAGGAGUUCACAUUUUCUUGCUCUUAAUACAUGUUCUAUUAAUACAACCUAAAUCUCAAAAUGAUAAAUCACUUUACAUGUUUGUUCACAUUAAUCAUGAACAGAAUGAAAUCUCACACCUUUCUCAUUAGGUGGCGCCACUCUCUUCCCACAAGCCACACUUGUACCAGGAAGCUUGGGAACCUUGUUGGAGACUUUACAUUUAUUCUAUUAACCUUUUGCUAGGUCAAGAUCAUAAUUCAACUCUGUGAACGUCUCUCAAUGUAACAUAUUUGAUUAUUGUAACCCUAAAAAGAAUCUUGAAAAAUAUGUGUGGAACCUUCAUAAUAGGAGAGAGGAAUGAAUAUUCUGUAGAGGAGAAUUAGGCUGUAGUAAGUGUUCUUUUCCUGGUUCAUCCAUAAACCCAUAUCCACUCUCAGGAUUGUCCAUGUAAGAUACAAAGGUAGAGUUACAUUAAAAUUAAAGUACAGAGUAUCUUAUGACAGACGAAAUGCAACCUGAGAUAGUGGAACUUUCAAAUCUGAUGCAGUGUAGUUUUGUCUGAGUAUUAUAAAUAUGACUUGACUUUAUUACAUAACUCUGAGUAGUACUUAGAAAUUUUCAUUAAGGAGUUGAUUUUUACCCUGGCUUGUCUUCUCCAUUUUCAGUUUUAUUUAAUCAUAUACUUGAGGAAAGUAUUUCAACAUAUCUAUCCCUGUAGACCCAUACUAGGAGCUUUCUACACACUUAAUUGUUUAUCGAAUUUUUUACUCUUUAUCUUAAGAAUUUGAGAUUAUAUUUUACUAUAUCAAAUGGCUGUAAGUGAGGGACUAUAAACUAUGACAGAGCCAUACCAUAAUAUCACAUAACACAACACAGUGACACUGUGAUAUGGCUAUUAAAGUAGAUAAUUCUCUGUUCUGUGUGUAUAAUUCCAUUUGGGAAAACAGAAUAUUAUCAAUAUAAAAUAUAUUUGUUUGCUUAUGUAUAUGUUUAACAUACUGACUUAAAUAAAUAUAACAUUCAAAACUAGAGACAUGCUUCAGAGGUUAAGAGCACUGACUGCUUUUAUAUCUAUCUAUCUAUCUAUCUAUAUAUAUAUAUACAUAUAUAUAUGUACACACACACACACACACACACACACACAUCACUUAAAAGAUGGUCCAGUAAGUAUUGGUAAAGGGCUUAUUCCACAAGCACCAGGACCUAAGCUCAGUCCCCGGCACCCACAUGAAAAAGUGGGGUACAGCUGUGAGAGCCUGCAGUGCCGGUGCUAAAGAAGGCAGAAAGGAGUAUCCCUGGGGUUGCUCAGCAGCUAGUCUAGUCCAGUAAGUGAGCACCAAGUUCAGAUAAGAUGGAGAGUCAUUGAAGAAGUCACCUGAUUGCAACUAUCGGCCUUCUUGCCCCUCACACAUAUGCAUGUUUAUACUUCCACAGAUAUGUACACAUAUACUUGCAAAAGCCAACAUGUACACACAAAUGUAUAUACGCGUUUAUAUAUCUAGGGAGAUAGGGCAGUGGAUAAAGUGCUUGCUGUACAAACACAAAAACCCGUGUUCAAUUCCCAGAACAGUGUAAAAAGCUGAGUCUGGUGGUAUAUGACUUAAUUCCAAACAGCAGGGAGUCAGAGACAGGCAGAUCCCAGGGGAUCCCUGGCCAGGCAACUCCUUGGUGAGCUACAGGCCAGGAAAAGAUCCUGUCUCAAAAGCAAGGUGGUUGGUUUAUCAGGAGUGACAGCUGAGGUAGAUCCCUGGCUCCUACAUGCCUGGGUACCCCCUCCCCCAACACACACACACAUGAAACAAUGUAUAUGUAUAUAUGAUGAUACCUAUUUGGUGUUACUUUUUAUUUGCGAUCAGGCACAGGCUGGCUAAUCUUAAGCUUACUCUGAGUCAUGAUGAUUUUGAACUUCUAAUACUCCUGCCUCUAAUCUCUUUGUUUUGAGACCAGGUUUCUCUCUAUAGCCCUGGCUGUCCUGGAACUCACUCUGUAGACCAGGCUGUCCUGGAACUCACUCUGUAGACCAGGCUGGCCUGGAACUCAGAGCUUGGCCUGCUCUGCCUCCUGAGCAUCAGUGUGCACCACCCCCGCCUGCUGCCCCCACCUACUUUAUGUAAGACUGUGGAUUGAACUGAUAAACUUGUGCAUGAUCAGCAAAUACUCUAUCAACCGAGCUGCAUCUUCAAUCUGUGCUGAUAUCUGAAUUGAUAAUUUCUGGAUGUAACAUUAAAACUGUUAACAGUGUGAUUACCUCUGGGGACAUGGGCAGGAAUACACAGUGUUAGGAAGAUGCAUUAAUCAUUUUAGAUUCUGUGAUGUCCAUAAUUUCUUUUAUAACAUGAACUAUUCAUUAUUUAUUUCUCAAAAUAAUAACAAUGCAUUUAUUAAUGCGUUUUGAAGUAUAAGGAACAGGGCUGGGAAUAUGUCUUACUGGUAGAGUGCUUGCCUUGCACACAAAAGUCUUGUGUUCAAUUCUUUUUUUUUUUUUUUUUUUUUGGUUCUUUUUUUUUUUCCGGAGCUGGGGACCGAACCCAGGGCCUUGCGCUUCCUAGGUAAGCGCUCUACCACUGAGCUAAAUCCCCAGCCCCUUGUGUUCAAUUCUUGACACUACACUAUAUACAUAAAUGAAAAGAAAUUCAAGGAUCAAUGCAGUAUCUCUAUUGGGAGGAAGAGUAGAGGAAUUCAAAAGGAGGGAAUGGAGGUGGAUUGGAUCUAAACACAGUCUAUGCACAUAUGAAGAUUAAAUAAAUUACUUAAUAGGAAAGUUUCUUUAGGCCCAACUACAACAUACUUGGAACCCAAACAGCCACCUUAAAAAGCAAUCAUUUGCAUUAAAAUCUGUGUACUUUUCUCAGGCCUGUCUCAUACGGAAGAUCUGAUAAAAAUAAUGUAGGGAAAAGAAUUCUUAGUGGUCUCAAUGACUUAAUAUAUAACGUAUAAUAUAUUAAUGACUUAAAUAUAUUAUAUAACAAAGGGGUCAUUAAGUCACCUCAAACUUUUCUGAAAUAAAGUAAAUAAUCAACCAACCAACUAUAAGUCAAACAAAAUUUAAACAAUUUUAAACAAAAUUUAAAACAAAAUUAAAAAUUUUAAACAAUUUAAACAAAAUUUAAACAAUUUUAAACAAAAUUUAAAACAAAUAUUAAGAACAAGUUAAUUAAACUCAUAUCUAAAAGUCAAUUUUGACCUUAUAGUCCUGAGUUGAAUACCUACAAAUAUUUUAAUGCAUUUGCUGACAGCUUUGAUCCAUGUAUAGAAUCUGUUCUGAUUCUGCGACUCGCUAGAUAAUAGCCAUGAAUCAUUCUUUCUGCCUCCAAACUGAAUUCCACAUUCAAAUUCUUUGCAAACGCCAGUAGCUAUGUUAAAAAUAUAAAAAAAUUUUUAGGAGAUUUAAUUUUAUUAUGGAGUCAUUAUAAUUCCAAAGUGUGCUGGCAUCUGAUUUUUAAAAGUUUCCAUAUUUUUUACAUCAAACUUAAGUAAAUACCUGGGUCAUUUCCAAGUCACUGAGCCUUUUAAGUCAUUGCCUCUGCUUGUAACAAGUAUGAGAGUUUGCCAGAAUAGCCUCUCUCACUGUGCACAAGUGUACUGUGCACCAGAACUGAACUACUGGCUGAUUUUGUGCUUCAAUGGGGGAAACUCUCACAUCUCCCAGAAGCUCAUUUCUCUCUGUCUUUGGUUUUUCAAGACAGGGUUUCCUAUGUAGUCGUAGCUGUCCUGGAACAUGCUCUGUAGAACAGGCUGUCCUUGAAUUCACAGAGAUCAGCCUGUCUCUGCCUCCCCAAUGCUGGGAUUAAAGGUGUGCACCACCACCAGCACCUGGCAUAUUUUUUUAAUGCCCAACUAAAUUCUUAUCUUUUCCUUAAAGAUUUCUGAAUUCCAUAAAUAUUUAGGAACAGCAAUACUAAGCAUUAAGUUGCCCUAAAUGUUUUAUGUGUCUUGUUUUUAUCUCAAAUAACAGACUAGUGUAAAGAAAAUUGAAGUUAUAAAAUGUGAAUAACUAAACUCACAUGGCAUAGCUUCAUUUUCUAUACAAAUAGUCUUUUUUAAUAUAUUGAUCUUUUUAAAGCUAUGGGUAUUUAGGUAAUAACAGAAAUAAUAAACUUAACAUUUGGAUAUGAAAAUUUCCCUAUGGGCUGGAGAGAUGACUCAGUGGUUAAGAGCAUUGACUGCUUUUCCAGAGAUCCUGAGUUCAAUUUCCAGCAACCACAUGGUGGCUCAGAACCAUUUGCAAUGGGAUCCCAUGCCCUCUUCUGGUGUGUCUGAAGACAGCUACAGUGUACUUAUAUAUAAUAAAUAAAUCUUUUUUAAAAGUUUCCUUACAUAGCUGUUGUUUUUUCUAUACAAUGUACUUAAAAUAUGAGAAAUCUGUAAGCAAUCUUGUGUAACAGAAUAGGAACUGAGCAUGGUAGCAAAUGCCUGUAAUGUUAGCACUUCUAAGAAGUAGAAGGAUCAAGGCUGUCCUUGACUACCAUAGUGAGUUCCAAGCCAGCCUGAGCUACAUGAAACCUUGUCUCAAACAACCCCCCCCCAAAAUAAAAACAAACAAAAAAAUCAACUAGAUAAUUCUAGAAGAAGAAAAGAAUGCCAACAUAAAUUCUAUUAAAUUAAGCCAUGGGCUGGUGAGGUGACUCAGUGAGUGAAGAUGCUUGUUGCCAAGCCUGACAGCCUGAGUUUGGUCCCCAUAAGCCACAGAAGGAGGGAACUGCCUUCUACAAGGUUAUUUUAUGGUAUACACUUGGGCCCACAUACAUGCAAAAUACAUGCAUGCAUGUGUGCACAUACACACCACAUAAAUAAAUAUAAAGAUAAUAAAUAAUUAAGGAGCAAGUAGACAUCCUGAGUAAGCAUUUUGUCUAACUUUACCUUCUCAAAAUCUUCAGUUGUGAACUGUUUAGAAGCUAAAUAAGGCGGCCCCUUAGGAUCCACCGCUUUCUUUAAAGUGUGUUGCACAGUAGGAAGAAGUGGGUGGCACGGAGAAGACUCCUUGCAGUUAACCAACAAUCCAAACGCCUCUGCAAGGUUGGCUGGAAUCAAACUGCAAUCCUGUAUCAAAUACAAAGGCAGGGGAACAGCUAAUUGGAAAUAGUUAAAUACAAAUUGAUCAUUAUAUUAUUUAACUAUCUAGUGAUUAUUUCAAUAUUAACUACAGUUUAAAGUAAUUUCUGGGAAGAAAUGUCAAACUUGUGGAAAGCAACUUUUUAAGAAAGUUCUUAUUGAGUAUUUAUUAUGUAUUAUUUAUUAAAGCCUUCUAGGACUCAGGAGAUGCGUCAGUCAGUAAAGUAUGAGGAGGAGGCUGGAUUCUGUCUUCCAGAGACCAAACAGAAAGGUUUGGUGCCACAACAGGUGCCUGUAACCUUAGUGGUGGGGAGGUGGGGACAGAAAGAUCCCUUGAGCUUGCUGGCUAGACAGUCUAGCUAAAUUAGUGAGUUUCAGAGAGGGACUGUCUUAAAGACCAAGGUGGGCUGCAAUUGAGGAAGACAUCCACAUCGACCUUGAAAACACAGACACAUGGGACUUCUUAACUUUGAAACAGAAAUUUCUAUUUACUAGACAAUUUGCAUAACAUCAACAACUGGAUCAUUAUUCAGUAAUGCCUGAUAAGGUAUAUAAAUGCACCAAUGCAAAAACAUAUAAGGUGUUGCUGGGUAUAGCACUCGGCAUGCUGGCCCGUUGGAGGCCAAUCUGGGCUCUAUAUGAGCUACACCACCGCCUUGGUUACAUGGUGAAGCCUUACCUAACGAGUGAGGAAGGCAUAAGAAGGAAGAGGCUGGAAGUGGAGGGGAGUGUGAGAACAGACUAACAGUUCUCUGAGAAAGCUUUUUUUUUUUUUUUGAGACAGGGUUUCAUGUAGCCCAGGCUGGCCUCAAACUCACAGCAUAGCCGAGAACAACCUUGAAUUCUAAUCCUUCCAUGUCUGAAGCACUAGGAUUACAGGGGGCCUCCUAAACAAUGUUCUAGCAGUAAAAUAGUCAGAGCCCUUACCAUCUGACCAAUCAGAGUACUGGCUUUCUGUACAUUUCUCCUUGAAGAUGAAUCCAUAUCAACAAAAGACCAAAAACUGCAUUGAAUGGGAAAAGUCAUUUGCUGAUCGAAAUCAUCCCCAAACUUCUUUCCUGGGAUGAACACUGUGACGCUUCUGCUCUCCAAAGCUGCAUCACAAGACGUGAUCCAUGUUAAGAACGUAGAUGCUGUACAUCACAACAGCUUUUAUUGCCAACCUGUCAAGAUCUUGUUAUUCUAGUAGAUAUCUUAUAAGUCUACAAAUUAAUAACAAAUAUCAUAUGAAAUUCUACUAAAUCAGAGAAUGAAGACAAAUGAAUUUGAUUGUUUUACAAGGUUCUCCUAAAGUCAGAGCAACUACAAUAAAAAGACCGAGGUAAGACAGAUACCUGAAUGUCUGUGUUUGUGCUGUCUGAGGAUCGUCGGACCAGAGCACAGCUGGAGCUGUGGGUGGACAUCUGAGAGGAGCAGGCAGAGGACUAGGACACUCACAAAGCCUGGGUUUUCACUAACCAGGCUGGCUUCAAACUCACCAUAUAGCAGCUGAGGGCAAUCUGAACUUUCUGCUCCUCCCUCCUGCACCUCCCAAGUGCUGGGAUUAUAGUUUGUACCACCGUGCAUAGUGCAUGUGGUCAUGGAAUAGACCCCAGGGCUUUGUGCACACUAGGCACACACUAUCAACUGAGCCACGUCCCCAACUCAGGAAUGCCCCUUAUGUGCUAAAAAAAAAAAAAAAAAGUGAUAGAAAGCAGUCCAUUCAUGAGGGAAUGUGAGAGGACUGAGGAAGAAGGUAUUUCAAUUCAGCAUGUUCAAAACCAAAGCAGUCUAAGCCGCCACCCACCUAAACCCCACACAAACAGAAAGGACUGUCCUCACGUGCUUAUUUUCCCUUCAGUCUACUGAUACACUUAUUCUUAGGAGUCUGCUCCUAAGUGGAUUCAAACUGAGCUUUUGAUUCAUGUAACAGUGUUUUGUAUUCACAGGUUAGACUUCUGUCACUAUGAAAAACUGCCUUACAUAACGACUUCCGGAGAAGGUUCCUCAGACUGUGGUAGUAAAGGUUUAGUCCAUCACAGUGGGGAGCAGAGCUGCUCACAUCACCACAGAGAAAACCCACAGAAUUAUUCACAGCGAUGGAGGAGGCCUAUCUCUCUCGGCAUGCUAUGCUGGUCCACUAUUCAAAAUUAAUCAGUGUGGAGCUGGAGGGAUGCCUAAGUGGUUCAGAACCCUGGCUGCUCUUGCAGAACUGGAUUUGGUUCCCAGAACUAACAUGAUAGCUCACAACUAUCUGCAAAUCCAGUUCCAUGGGAUUCAAUGCCCUCUUCUGGUUUCUGGGAGCACCAGGCCCAAGUGGUAAAUAGACAUACAUACAAAUAAAACAUGAAUACUCGUGAAAUAGCAAAGACUCAAAGCAAAAUCAAUGUAUGCUAUGAAAAUCACAUAAUCAAAUUAAUAGAUAUAAGAAAAAAGUUCUCACAAAAUCCUAUACUGAUUCAUAAUAAAACUGCUUGGCGGACUAGGAAUAGAAGGAAACCUCUUCACCGUGGGCUUUAAGAUUAAAACAACAACAACGACAACAACAACUGCACAGCUAGCAUUUAUUACAAUUAAUGCUGAGAAACCUGGAAAUUUGGAACAACUGUUUUCCUCAUAGUUCUAAGACCAAUAACACAACGAGACAAAAAGGAACAAAAUUGGCUUAAAAUACAGUUAUAUAUCAGAACCUAGAGUAAAGGCUAAAACAAUGCACUUGCAAAUUAAAUUAUUUUAUUUCUAAAAUUGGACUGAGAACUAACAUUCAGUGUAAUUCCAUCUCCUGAGCCCCGGGCAGUACUAUCUCAGCUGUUAAGUGAGUCCUCAGUACUGGUGAAGCAGGAGGUUAAACAGGUGGAAAGAUUGAGAAAGCAUUGUUUACCUGACUGGAGCUGUUCCAGUUUAUCCUUUUUGUGUGAUGUUAGGUCUCCUAUGAAGCAGACACCACCCCUAGCAAGCAAAGCACUGCCAGCUUGAAUGCUUACUGCUCCAGUUCCAUAUUUAUCUCUGGACACAGUAGGAAAAACUUCAGUACAGACAGGAUGACGUAUGCCACGGGACACAAGGUUCAUGCUAAAAUUCAAAAGUCUAGGGAAAGUAAGUUAUUCAGAUAUUUAAUGAUGACAUCAUUAAUGUGAACGACAUGUUUAAAUUUAACUUGGCCAGUGUCUACCAAGCACUACAUAUACCUGGUGUUUUAUUUGAAGAGCUUACAGCAUAGACAGAGUUAGAGAAACAAUUUACAAUGGAAUAAUUCUAAAAUAUCUUCUUGAGAACACCACAGAGGGAAUUAUUAUUUCCUUUUAGAAAGGAAUCAGAGAAAGCCGUGGGAAGGCAACGUUUAAAUGGGAUCACUGUCUUUGUUGUUGCUGUGUUGGAGACAGGGUUUGCUUGUAUAGUCCUGGGUGUCCUGGGACUCACAAUGCAGACUUGCUGACACUGAGUUCUGUGCGCCUCUACCCCCUGAGUGCUGGGAUCAAAGGCGUGCACUGCCACUGCCUACUGGAUCAAAGUCCGCUUAUGGAUUACCUUUUCUCAUGUAUUUCAGAUUUGUUUAAUAGGUUUGUCAAUGUCCUAUCUUGACUAUUCCUGCUGUUUCUGGAUCAUGACAACUCUUGCUACACUUUCCUUUUUGCUUUUAAUAUUGUUGUUAACUGCUUCAACUUCUUUAAUUCUCAAAUUCAAAUUAUAAUAAAGAACUAUUUCUUUAGUAUUGUGGUAAAUCUGAGAUACUGUCCAAUCACUCAUGUUUUGGGGGUUGGGCAAAGUACGUGGGUCCUGGUGGUGCCUACCUGACCUAUGGUGGGAUUCACAAUAUGACAGGAGAUUUAGGAGUUAGUGGGUCACCAUGGGCAUUCCCUGAACAAACAGACUGUGUCCUCUGCCUCUUUCUGUCUGUCCCUCUGGUUCCUGUCUACCAAAGAUGCACUGUUUUUCUCUGCCAUGACGCUCUGCCUCAGUAUUGGCCUAUAGCACUGGAACAUGUAAAUGAUGGACUACAAUUGUGAGCAAAAAUAAAGCUUAGUCCUUUGAAUUGUUUCUCUUGCUUACCACAGCAAUGAAAACUGUCUAAUGUGUCUAUCUUUAAAACCCUUACCACAGAAAUUAUAACUUUCUGAUGCAACCAUCUAUGAUGAUCAGAUACAGACAUGGAAUGUAAAAGGGACUCAGGUAGUGUCCUUUAGAUGUAGACAGGAAAAUGCCAGAAAGUGUUGUCAUGUAUGCAUCAUCAUAGGACUUAGACAUUAGCCCCAGGGUAUGUAACAGAGAGGACACUGCAAAAACAACAUUUAUAGCCUGAAAUGAGCAGUGGUCUUAGCUAUAGAUCAUAUUAAAAUCAUGUAGGGAGUUUUGUUUUCUUUCAAAACAAAUUCUAAUGCCCAUUUCCUCAACUACUUAAAACAGAAUUUUUGGAGGUAGUAUACAACUUUUUAAAAAGUAUCUAAUUUUUGAGACAAGGUCUUACUAGGUUGCCUUGCCUGAUUUCAAGACUGAAUAAUCAGGACUGUGUAUGAUCCGCCUUAAGUAUAGACAAAAAUGUACAACAGAAAAUAACAUUCAAAUAGAUUUACAGUCUAGUUUAAUUUUAAACUUGGUACAAAGAAACAAUGAAAUCUUAUAACAGAUGAUGUGGAAACUACAUAGGAGAAGCAUCAACUUUCACUACACAAUACCACAUACAGACACUAACUAGAGGGCCAGGUGGACAGUUAACCCCUCAGGAUAAGGACACUUGCCCAGCAACGGGUUCAAUCCUGGAACACACUUUAAGGUACAAAGAGAUAAUUAACACCACCAAAUUGCCCUCUGACUCCUAUGUGCACUCUGCGGCAUGUGCACUCUGCGGCAUGUGCACUCUGUGGCAUGUGCACUCUGUGGCAUGUGCACUCUGCGGCAUGUGCACUCUGUGGCAUGUGCACUCUGUGGCAUGUGUACUCUGUGGCAUGUGCACUCUGCGGCAUGUGCACUCUGCGGCAUGUGCACUCUGUGGCAUGUGCACUCUGUGGCAUGUGCACUCCCCCACAACAUGGACACACACAGGAAAAAGCAUUAAACUGAAUACAGAGAAAAGACUCAACAAAAUAUAUUUCUAGGAAGAAAACAGAAUUUUCACGACUUUCAGGUAGGCAAAAAAUUCUUAACUGGAACCCAGAAAACAUGAAAAAGAGAAAAUGAAAAAUUGGAAAUAGAAAUCCUCUAAAUUGAAGUGUCUGCCCAUCACAGACACAUUUCAAAAAACUCAUAAAAGCUUUCAGAUUAGAAGCACGUGAAAGAUCUGUAUGACAAGAACUUCAAGUCUCUGAAAAAAAGAAACUGAGAUCUCAGAAGAUGGAAAGAUCUCCCACGCUCAGGGAUUGGCAGGAUUAACAUAGUAAAAAUGGCCAUCUUACCAAAAGCACUCUACAAAUGCCAACUCAAUACUUCACAGAGAUAAAAAGAGCAAUUCUCAAAUUCAUCUGGAAUAACAAAAAACCCAGGAUAGGAAAACUAUCCUCAAAAUAAGAGAACUUCUAGGAAAUCACCAUCCCUGACCUUAAGCUCUAUUACAGAACAAGAUUGAUAAAAACUGCAUGGUAUUGGUACAGAGACAGGCAGGUAGAUCAGUGGAACACAAUUGAAGACCCAGAAAUGAACCCACACACCUAUGAUCACCUGAUCAUUGACAAAGAAGCCAAAAUCAUCCAGUGGAGAAAAAGACAGCAUUUUCAACAAAUGGUGCUGGCUUAAGUGGAAGUCAGCAUCUAGAAGAAUGCAAAUUGAUCCACUCUUAUCUCCUUGUACAAAGCUCAAGUCCAAAUGGAUCAAGAACCUCCACAUAAAUUCAGAUACACUCAAACUAAUAGAAGAAAGAGUGGGGAAGAGUCUUGAACACAUGGGCACUGGGGAAUAUUUCCUGAACAAAACACCAAUGGCUUAUGCUCUAAGAUCAAGAAUCGACAAAUGAGAUCUCAUAAAAUUGCAAAGGCAAAGGACACUGUCAAUAGGACAAAAUGGCAAACAACAUAUUGGGAAAAGACCUUUACCAACUGUAUCCAUCUAAUAUAUACAAGAACUCAAGAAGUUAAGACUUCCGAGAACCAAACAAUCGUAUUGAAAACUGGAGUAUAGAGUUAAGCAGAGAAUUCUCAACUGAGGAAUCUUGCAAGACUGAGAAGUACCUAAGGAAAUACUCAACAUCCUCAGUCAACAGGGAAAUGCAAAUCAAAACAACCCUGAGAUUCCACCUCACACCAGUGAGAAUGACUAAGAUCAAAAACUCAGGCGACAGCAGAUGCUGGCGAGGAUGUGGAGAAAGAGGAACACUCCUCCAUUGUUGGUGGGAUUGCAGAUCGGUACAACCACUCUGGAAAUCAGUCUGGAGGUUCCUCAGAAAAUUGGACAUUGAACUGCCUGAGGACCCAGCUAUACCUCUCUUGGGCAUAUACCCAAAAGAUGCUCCAACAUACAACAAAGACACAGGCUCCACUAUGUUCAUAGCAGCUUUAUUUAUAAUAGCCAGAAGCUGGAAAGAACCCAGAUGCCCUUCAACAGAGGAAUGGAUUAAGAAAAAUGUGGUACAUCUACACAAUGGAGUACUACUCAGCUAUCAAAAACAAUGACUUCAUGAAAUUCAGAGGCAAAUGGAAUGAACUAGAAAAUAUCAUCCUGAGUGAAAAACAAACAUGGUAUGCACUCACUGAUAUUAGCACAAAAGCUCGAAUCACCCAAGAUAUAAUACACAGACUACAUGAAGCUCAAGAAGAAGGACAACAAAAGUGCGGAUGCUUCACUCCUUUUUUUUUUUAAAUGAAUGAUACAUUCUUUUCAUCCUAUAUAACAGCGUAGCAAUAACAAGAUCCUUCCUUGUAGCACAUAUAAAACUUCGAUGCUGUCUAACUCAAACACUGUCAGAGUACCCACUCAUUCUCAGGGUUCCCUUCUUCUCUUUUAAUGUUGUAGUUUUAAUGUUGAUUAAGCUGCUAUGCAGGGCCAUGGCAAUAAAUCAAAUAGUCAGAAGCAAUCGAUUUAAUAUAUUAACCCAUUUUUCCCUCACAAGUCAUUUGUAAUGUAACUGUUUUUCUGUGGAAUAUGUUACGCUUACCAUCUCUUUUUAAAAAAUUUUUUUUAUUAGAUAUAUUUCUUUACUUACAUUUUGUAUGAUAUUCCCUUUCCUGGUUUGCUGUCCAUAAGCCUGCAUCCCCACCUCCUUCCCCAUAUAGGUGUUUUCCCCAUCCACCUCCCUUACCGCCACCCCCAACAUUCCCCUGCAUUGGGCGGGGGGGGGGUCCAACCUUGGCAAGACCAAGGGCUUCCCCUUCCACUGGUGCCCCAACAAGGCUAUUCUCUGCUACAUAUGCAGUUAUAGCCCUGGGUCAGUCCAUGUGUAGUCUUUCAGUAGUGGUUUAAUCCCUGGAAGCUUAGGUUGGUUGGCAUUGUUGUUCUUAUGGGGUUGCAAGUCCCUUCAGUUCUUUCAAUCCUUCCUCUAAUUCCCCUAAACGGGGUCCUGUUCUCAGUUCAGUGGUUUGCUGCUGGCAUUGAUUACUGUAUUGGAUAUACUCUGGAUUUGUCUCUCAGGAGAGAUCUAUAGCCGGUCUUUCAGCAUGUACUUUUUAGCUUCAUCAAUCUUAUCUAGUUUUGGUGGCUGUAUAUAUAUAUGGGCCACAUGUGGGGCAGGCUCUGAAUGGCCGUUCCUUGAGUUGCUGGUCUAAUCUUUGCUUCCAUAUCCCCGCCUAUGGAUAUUUUCCCCCCUUUUAAAAAGGAGUGGGAGCAUCGGCAUUUUGGUCAUCCUUCUUCUUGAGCUUCCUGUGGUCUGUGGAUUGCAUUUUGGGUAAUUCAAGCUUUUGGGCUAAUAUCCACUUAUCAAUGAAUGCAUACCAAUUGUUUUUCUGUGAUUGGGUUACCUCACUCAGGAUGAUAUUUUCUAGUUCAUUCCAUUUGCCUCUGAAUUUCAUGAAGUCAUUGUUUUUGAUAGCUGAGUAGUACUCCAUUGUGUAGAUAUACCACAUUUUUCUUAAUCCAUUCCUCUGUUGAAGGGCAUCUGGGUUCUUUCCAGCUUCUGGCUAUUAUAAAUAAAGCUGCUAUGAACAUAGUGGAGCAUGUGUCUUUGUUGUAUGUUGGAGCAUCUUUUGGGUAUAUACCCAAGAGAGGUAUAGCUGGGUCAUCAGGUAGUGGAAUGUCCAAUUUUCUGAGGAACCUCCAGACUGAUUUCCAGAGUGGUUGUACCAGUUUGCAAUCCCACCAACAAUGGAGGAGUGUUCCUCUUUCUCCACAUCCUCGCCAGCAUCUGCUGUCACCUGCGUUUUUGAUCUUAGUCAUUCUCACUGGUGUGAGGUGGAAUCUCAGGGUUGCUUUGAUUUGCAUUUCCCUGUUGACUAAGGAUGUUGAACAUUUCUUUAGGUGCUUUUUGGCCAUUUGAUAUUCCUCAGCUGAGAACGUUUUGUUUAGCUCUGUACCACAUUUUUUUUAAUGGGGUUAUUUGGCUCUCUUAAGUCUAACUUUUUGAGUUCUUUGUAUAUUUUGAAUAUUAGCCCUCUAUCAGUUGAAGGAUUGGUAAAGAUCUUUUCCCAAUCUGUUGGUUGCUGUUUUGUCCUAAUGACAGUGUCUUUUACCUAACAGAAGCUUUGCAGUUUUAUGAGGUCCCAUUUGUCGAUUCUUGAUCUUAGAGCAAAUGCCAUUGGUGUUUUGUUCAGGAAAAUUUCCCCAGUGCUCAUGUGUUCAAGACUCUUCACCACUCUUUCUUCUCUUAGUUUGAGUGUAUCUGGUUUGAUGUGGAGGUCCUUGAUCCACUUGGACUUAAGCUUUGUACAGGGUGAUAAGAAUGGAUUGAUUUGCAUUCUUCUACAUGCUGACCUCCAGUUGAACCAGCACCAUUUUUUGAAAAUGCUAUCUUUCUUCCGUUGGAUGUUUUUACCUCCUUUGUCAAAGAUCAAGUGACCAUAGGUGUGUGGGUUCAUUUCUGUGUCUUAAAUUCUGUUCCACUGAUCUACCUGUCUGUCUCUGUCCCAAUACCAUACAGUUUUUAUAACUAUUGCUCUGUAAUACUGCUUGAAAUCAUGGAUGGUGAUUCCCCCAGAAGUUCUUUUAUUGUUGAGUAUAGUUUUUGCUAUCCUGGGUUUUUUCUUAUUCCAAAUGAAUUUGCAAAUUGUUCUUUCUAUAUGUAUGUUGGAGCAUCUUUUGGGUAUAUACCCAGGAGAUUCUAUAAAGAAUUGAGUAGGAAUUUUGAUGGGGAUUGCAUUGAAUCUGUAGAUUGCUUUUGGCAAAAUGGCCGUUUAUACUAUAUCAAUCCUGCCAAGCCAUGAGCAUGGGAGAUCUUUCCAUCUUCUGAGAUCUUCCUCAAUUUCUUUCUUCAGAGACUUGAAGUUCUUGUCAUACAGAUCUUUCACUUGCUUGGUUAAUGUCACACCAAGAUAUUGUGUAUUAUUUGAGACUAUUCUGAAGGGUGUCAUUUCCCUAAUUUCUUUCUCAGGCUGUUUAUCCUUUGAGUAGAGGAAGGCUACUGAUUUGUUUGAGUUAAUUUUAUACCUCGACACUUUGCUGAAGUUGUUUAUCAGGUUAAGUAGUUCUCUGGUGGAACUUUUGGGGUCACUUAAGUACACUAUCAUAUCAUCUGCCAAUAGUAAUAAUUUGAUUUCUUCCCUUCCAAUUUGUAUUCCUUUGACCUCCUUUUGUUGUCUGAUUGCUCUGGCUAGGACUUUGAGUACUAUAUUGAAUAAGAAGGGAGAGAGUGAGAAGCCUAGUCCCUGAUUUUAGUGGGUUUGUUUCAAGUUUCUCUCCAUUUAGUUUGAUGUUAGCUACUGGUUUGCUGUAUAUUGCUUUUACUAUGUUUAGGUAUGGGCCUUGAAUUCCUAAUCUUUCCAGGACUUUUAUCAUAAAGGGGUGUUGAAUUUUGUCAAAUGCUUUCUCAGCAUCUAAUGAAAUGAUCAUGUGGUUCUUUUUUUUUUUUUUUUUUUUUGGUUCUUUUUUUCGGAGCUGGGGACCGAACCCAGGGCCUUGCGCUUCCUAGGUAAGCGCUCUACCACUGAGCUAAAUCCCCAGCCCCGAUCAUGUGGUUCUUAUGUUUGCAUUUGUUUAUAUAGUGGAUUAUGUUGAUGGAUUUCCAUGUAUUAAACCAUCCCUGCAUCCCUAGGAUGAAGCCUACUUGAUCAUAAUGGAUUAUCAUUUUGAUGUGUUCUUAGAUUCGGUUUGUAAUAAUUUCAUUGAGUAUUUUUGUGUCACUAUUCAUAAGGAAAAUUGGUCUGAAGUUCUCUUUGUUGGGUUUUUGUGUGGUUUCAGUAUAAGAGUAAUUGUGGCUUCAUAGAAAGAAUUUGGUAGUGCUCUGCUUCUAUUUUGUGGAAUAGUUUGGACAGUAUUGGUAUGAGGUCUUCUACGAAGGUCUGAUAGAAUUCUGCACUAAACCCAUCUGGUCCUGGGCUCUUUUUGGUUGGGAGACUUUUAAUAAAUGUUUCUAUUUCUUUAGGAGUUAUGGGGUUGUUUAGAUGGUUUAUUUGUUCCUGAUUUAACUUUGGUACCUGGUAUCUGUCUAGAAAAUUAUCCAUUUCCUCCAGAUUUUCCACUUUUGUUGAAUAUAGGCUUUUGUAGUAGGAUCUGAUGGUGUUUUUUUUUUUAAAUUUUCUCAGAUUCUGUUGUUAUUUCUCCAUUUUCAUUUCUGAUUUUGUUAGUUUGGAUACACUAUCUGUGACCUCUGGUUAGUCUGUCUAAGGGUUUAUCUAUCUCGUUGACUUUCUCAAAGAACCAGCUCC